CUUACCACUUCUUGCUGCUCCCAGUGUUCCUCAUGGUUUACCUUCUUGUGUUUCCUGUGGGUCCCUUGUGUUUUCAGUUAGACCUUUUUGGAUAUCUGACUGGCUGUGCACUGCUGUCUUUGCUGGCUAUGGAGUUGUACCUGAACCUGGUGUGAUCGAUGGACUUUGAGGAUAGGAUCAGUUUGCAUCCAGAAGGUCAAAAAAGAAACUCUUCUCAAGGUUCUUCUGACCAGUGGAGGGGGUGGCGCAAACCAUCGUGCCACACAGUGUUGAGGUGGAUUGUACUACAGUCAAAGUUUGAGAGGCUUACAUAAGACUUUGGAUAUACUGGUCAUACUCUGCUGCAGACAGAGUGGACUACUAGGAGAGCUGAAUAAUGCGUCCAUGUUAUGUGGGACAGAGUGUAUAAAGAACUAAAAAGAAUGAAAUAAAAGUGAUAACUCUGCUAACAA